rnacentral:lncRNA from 1 species
AUGUACCGCGUGAUGUGAGAGCGGAGCCCGGGUCUGCCCGGGCGCGGGCCCGCGGCCACGGCGUUUGGAUCCCAGAUCCCAGCCGCCGCGCUCAGCCCGAGCUUCCCGACCGGCGCUCUCCCCGUCCCUUCUCGCGCGCCCUUACCUGGGGUGGGGGAGGUGGGGACAGAGCCGGGCGCAGUCGGGGGCACAGCCCUGAGGCGGGGCUGUAGGCCACUGUGCUGAGGGCCAGGCCGCCACGCCCCUGGACCCUGAAAACGGGCUCGGACCCCCGCUGCAGCGUGGACUCCGGCGUGGCCGCGUGGCCUGCAACCCCGACCCUGUUCAGCUCCGUGUCCUCUAGAGCUUUACUCAUGGCCCCGCAUCGCCAGGCCGAGCUGCACCUUCGGUCCCCGCCCGCGGCAGCCGGCGAGAGGAAAGCAAGGCCCAGACAGGGGAGGAACCCACACAGCGUCUGUGCUCCAGCCUGCUUGAAAGACAAGGUCUACCUACAACGCAGAGAUCCACACAUUAAGGACAAUGAAACACCCAAGUGUUAGGAACCAGAAUAAUCAGCCCUAAUAGAGGGGAGGCUGAUCAAGGAGGGCCUCCUGGAGGAGGAGGCACAACAUCAGGGUGCACUGUGAUUUCUGGAGACCCAAGGAGUUCUGGUAAAUGACAGGUGAGAAAAAGAAAAUGUAAUAAAAUAUAAUUGAAAAC